GGGGGUAAAUUAAUAAAUAAAAUAAUAAUAAAAAAAUUUUUAAUAUGGGGGUAUUAAAGUAUAUUUUUUAGAAUUAAUAAAUAUUUUAUAGUGAAUUAGUAUUGUAAAAGAAUUUUGAAAUAAGGGUGAAAAUUAAUUAAUUAAAAAGUAAAUUUAAUUUAUUGUAUCUUGUGUAUCAGAGUUUAUUUAAAAAUAUUUAAUUUAAAAUUAAAAUCUCGAAUUUAAAAGAGUUAAUUAGUUAAAAGAGUUAAUGUUGCAUAAUUAUUUUAAAUAACUAAUUUGAAAUGAAAUGUUAAUCGUUUUUAAAUAUAUCUAGUUUUUUUAGAAAAAAAUUUAAUUUAAAAUUUAAAAAAUUUUAUUUUUUUAUUUUUAAAAAUAAAAUUUUAAAAUUAAAUAUAUUAAGGGAUAAGCUUUAAUUUAAAUUUUUAUAAUCAAAUAAAUUAAAAAUAAAAUUUUUAAAAUUUAUAUUGUUUAAAAAUUAUAAUUUAUUAUAAAAAAUUUUAAUAAAAAUAAAAUUUAAUGAUAAUUUAAAUUUAUAUAAAAAAAUAUUUUUUAAUGAAAAUAAAAUAGAAAUAAUGAUAAAAUUAGUAUAUUAAAAUUAAUAAAAAUUUUAAUUAAAUUAAAAUUAAUUUAAAGGAAUUCGGCAAAAUUUUAUAUUCACUUGUUUAUCAAAAACAUGUCUUUUAGAAAAUAAUUUAAAGUCUAAUCUGCCCACUGAUUAUAAAUUAAAGGGCUGCAGUAUAUUGACUGUACAAAGGUAGCAUAAUCAUUAGUCUUUUAAUUGAAGACUUGUAUGAAAGAUUUGAUGAAAUAUAAACUGUCUCUAUAUUAAUUAUAAAACUUAAUUUUUUAGUUAAAAAGCUAAAAUUUAUUUAAAAGACGAGAAGACCCUAUAGAGUUUUAUAAUUUUUUUAAUUAAAAUUAAAUAUAUAUUUAUAAAUUAAAAUUAAAGAAAUUAUUUUAUUGGGGUGAUAGAAAAAUUAAAAUAACUUUUUUUAAAUUUAAACCAUAAAUAAGUGAAUUAAUGAUCCAUAACUAAUGAUUAUAAGAAAAAAUUACCUUAGGGAUAACAGCGUAAUUUUUUUUUUUAGUACAAAUAAAAAAAAAAGGUUGCGACCUCGAUGUUGGAUUAAGAUAAAAAUUAAAUGCAAAAGUUUAAAUUUUUGAUCUGUUCGAUCAUUAAAAUCUUACAUGAUCUGAGUUCAAACCGGUGUGAGCCAGGUUGGUUUCUAUCUUUAGAAUAUUAUAAUAUUUUAGUACGAAAGGAUCAAGUAUUAUAAAUAAUUUAAUAAUUAAGAAUAUUAAUAAAAUUAUUUA
rnacentral:rRNA from 1 species